rnacentral:rRNA from 1 species
GUCUUGAGUUAUAGUGAAGUAACUAGAAUAUGUAGUGUAGCGGUGAAAUGCAUAGAUAUUACAUAGAAUACCGAUUGCGAAGGCAGGUUACUAACUAUAUACUGACGCUGAUGGACGAAAGCGUGGGGAGCGAACAGGAUUAGAUACCCUGGUAGUCCACGCCGUAAACGAUGGAUACUAGCUGUCCGGAUGCAAAUCUGGGCGGCCAAGCGAAAGUGAUAAGUAUCCCACCUGGGGAGUACGUCCGCAAGGAUGAAACUCAAAGGAAUUGACGGGGGCCCGCACAAGCGGUGGAGCAUGUGGUUUAAUUCGAUGAUACGCGAGGAACCUUACCAGGGCUUAAAUGUGGUCUGACAGCUUUAGAGAUAGAGUUUCCUUCGGGCAGAUCACAAGGUGCUGCAUGGUUGUCGUCAGCUCGUGCCGUGAGGUGUCAGGUUAAGUCCUAUAACGAGCGCAACCCCUGCCGUUAGUUGCCAGCAUGUAAUGAUGGGGACUCUAACGGGACUGCCGGUGCAAACCGCGAGGAAGGUGGGGAUGACGUCAAAUCAUCACGGCCCUUACGUCCUGGGCCACACACGUGCUACAAUGGCCGGUACAGAGAGCAGCCACUGGGCAACCAGGAGCGAAUCUACAAAACCGGUCACAGUUCGGAUCGGGGUCUGCAACUCGACCCCGUGAAGCUGGAAUCGCUAGUAAUCGGAUAUCAGCCAUGAUCCGGUGAAUACGUUCCCGGGCCUUGUACACACCGCCCGUCAAGCCAUGGAAGCCGGGAGUGCCUGAAGUCCGUCACCGCAAGGAGCGGCCUAGGGCAAGAUCGGUAACUAGGGCUAAGUCGUAACAAGGUAGCCGUACCGGAAGGUGCGGCUGGAACACCUCCUUUCUAGA